rnacentral:rRNA from 1 species
AGAAUGAACGCUGGCGGCGCGCCUAAUACAUGCAAGUCGAGCGAGAAGACGUAGCAAUACGUUUGUAAAGCGGCGAACGGGUGAGGAAUACAUGGGUAACCUACCCUCGAGUGGGGAAUAACUAGCCGAAAGGUUAGCUAAUACCGCGUACGCUUCUUGGACUUCGGUUCAGGGAGGAAAGCGAUGCCAAGGGUAUCGCGCUCUUGGAUGGGCUCAUGUCCUAUCAGCUUGUUGGUGAGGUAACGGCUCACCAAGGCUUCGACGGGUAGCUGGUCUGAGAGGACGAUCAGCCACACUGGCACUGCGACACGGGCCAGACUCCUACGGGAGGCAGCAGUAAGGAAUAUUGCGCAAUGGGCGAAAGCCUGACGCAGCGACGCCGCGUGGGGGAUGAAGGUCUUCGGAUUGUAAACCCCUUUCGGAGGAAGAUGGAAUGGGUAACCCAUUCGGACGGUACCUCCAGAAGCAAGCCACGGCUAACUCGUGCCAGCAGCCG